GGGGUCGACUGGUAUUGACAGCAAGAAGAUUACCAGUGUAAGCAAGUCGAGCGCUGAAUAACAGCUCGUAAAACUCAUCAUUCACAUUUUUAAAUGGCGAGAAUAACUACGCUCUAGCUGCAUAAUAAACUGAAUUAUAGUAAGUUUUUGCUAAAUCUCAGCUAGGCUGAGAAGCUGGAUGUCUCUGAAUAGCCCUUGUUGACGGCGAUUCGUAUUGAGGCACCAUAAAAGUCAACAUCGAAACGUUUGAGUGUUACAAACGUUUUUCAACUUGAAACACUAAGAAUGUUGUGGGCGGUUUUCGGUCAGCAUCAUUACGAAAAUGAAACGAAAACUAAACUUGUAGAAAGCAUUAGUAGCGCUUGUUUGGACGCGGGUUCGAAUCCCGCCGACUCCAC
rnacentral:tmRNA from 1 species